AAUAUUUUAGUGUCAUAAGUCAUAACUAAUAGGUUCUUUUUCCAAUGGAGUAAUUCAAGUUUCUUUCACUCAUUCGUGAGUUUAGUGUAUUUGCAGAGAGGGGACAGAUGCCAUCGUCAUCACCCCCCUUUGACUUAGCUCUGAUUUAUUAUAAAUAUUUAAACUAUGCUUUAGUCAUUUUUCUUAUAAAAUAUAGUUCACAGGCAAGUCGUAUCGGUGUACUCCAGUUUGUGGAUAUACUCAACCCAGGCGGCAAAUCCCCCUGUAGUUGGUGUAUUUCAACAGAAUGAGAUAUAUAAUAAGAGAUUUUCUUGUUCAUGACACUCAAAUAUCUUACAAGGAAUUCAUGAAAUUUGACUGGCUGAAUGAAGUUGUGAAAUUCCCUGAAACAACAUUUUGUGUAAAUGUAUUAUUAUUAUUCUUUU